GAUGAACGCUGGCGGCGUGCCUAAUACAUGCAAGUAGAACGCUGAAGGAGGAGCUUGCUCUUCUGGAUGAGUUGCGAACGGGUGAGUAACGCGUAGGUAACCUGCCUGGUAGCGGGGGAUAACUAUUGGAAACGAUAGCUAAUACCGCAUGACAACAGUUAUUGCAUGAUAACUGUUUAAAAGGGGCAACUGCUCCACUACCAGAUGGACCUGCGUUGUAUUAGCUAGUUGGUGAGGUAACGGCUCACCAAGGCGACGAUACAUAGCCGACCUGAGAGGGGGAUCGGCCACACUGGGACUGAGACACGGCCCAGACUCCUACGGGAGGCAGCAGUAGGGAAUCUUCGGCAAUGGACGGAAGUCUGACCGAGCAACGCCGCGUGAGUGAAGAAGGGUUUCGGAUCGUAAAGCUCUGUUGCAAGAGAAGAACGAGUGUGAGAGUGGAAAGUUCACACUGUGACGGUAUCUGACCAGAAAGGGACGGCUAACUACGUG
rnacentral:rRNA from 1 species